UAGACUUGGCAAAAUAAUAAAUUUAACAAUGCAUGCAUCCUACGUGUGUGCUCACAAUAUCCUUCGACAUUUCCUAGGGAAAAACAUAGUUCUUUAACUUGAAACUCGGACCAUAAUCAGUUCAGGAAUUAAUUAAUUAAUUGAGCAAAAACAAUUAAAACUCGACUCAACAACAAGUAUUUCCAUUUUAGCACUAAAAUCUUCUCACUGCUGACCCAAUUCAAAUAAUUGAAUUAGCCAAUAUUUAACUAGAAGUCAAGCAUUAAACAAUACUAAAAUUAAUUAGAGGCCCAACUUAUGAAAUCAAAAAGGCCCAAUACAUAACUGAGACUAGAGAUAAAAGAAAAAAACAAAAAUUUUAAAGCCUAUACUACACUCUCUCUGCCGACAACUCACUAAGGAAUAAAAGAGAAAAAAAAACUAAAUAUACUCCCUCAACACCACUUACGUGUACAAAAGGAGAAAGAAAUAAAAAAAAUAUAUACUCCCAACCAUCACUGUAUCUCUCUCCACUCGAAUCCCUCUCUGCUCUUCCUCCCUCUCUCUAUCUCCUACUGCCUUUUUUCAACAAUUCAUCAAAACAUCAAGCUCGCUCCCAAAAUUACUUCACCGAAGCACCAAUUUCGUACCCCGGUCAUCUCUCUCUUUUCCCCAAAUUUUAAACCUUUUAUUUCUAUUUUUUUCUAAUAUGUUCGAUUCUAAUAUUUUUGGGCAGAAAAGGGAAUUUUAGUAAUUGGGAUCGCAGAGAAACACAAAAGGCACCCCUCUAAGCAUUAAAGGUCGAAGCUUUAGAAAGAAGCAUCAUUUAAUAGUUUCAAGAAUUCCAAAAGGGAUUUAUUCCCGAGUGUGAUUAUGUGAAGCUAAAUCAUGGAAUGAGAUGCAGAGGAUUCAGAAAAAAAAUAGUGGAUAUACCUUCACGGAAGAAGUAGAACUUGCCGAAGAGAAGAUUUUUGAACUCAAUGGGAGAAGAAGAAAUUACCUUCAAUGAAGGGAAGAAAAGCUGCAGGAACGGCGAUUUGUUGAGAUUGUGGGAGAUGUAUAAAGGGAGUUAAUAGAGUAUUUGGUUGGAGAAUUUUAAGGAGUGGUGGAGAGAUUUUAGGAGUAGAGGUUUUGGUGAAUAAAGAAAACGUGUAAGAAGGAUUUAGAGGAAGAGAUU